UACGUAGGGCGCGAGCGUUGUCCGGAAUCAUUGGGCGUAAAGAGCGUGUAGGCGGCCAUUUAAGUCCUGCGUGAAAUCCUGCGGCUCAACCGCAGGCGGUCGUGGGAAACUGGAUGGCUAGAGUGCGGGAGAGGAGAGUGGAAUUCCUGGUGUAGCGGUGGAAUGCGCAGAUAUCAGGAAGAACACCCGUGGCGAAGGCGGCUCUCUGGAACGCAACUGGACGCUGAGACGCGAAAGCGUGGGGAGCAAACAGG
rnacentral:rRNA from 1 species